AAUACCCCAUAUGCUUUUUUAAGUGAAACGGAUUUAUUCGCCUAAAGAAAAGCUCGCGGCUGAUUAGCUAGUUGGUAAGGUAAUGGCUUACCAAGGCGACGAUCAGUAUCUGGUUUGAGAGGAUGAUCAGACACACUGGAACUGAGACACGGUCCAGACUCCUACGGGAGGCAGCAGUGGGGAAUUUUCCGCAAUGGGCGAAAGCCUGACGGAGCAAUACCGCGUGAGGGAAGAAAGCCUACUGGGUUGUAAACCUCUUUUUUCAGGGAGGAAAAAAAUGACGUGUACCUGAAGAAUAAGCAUCGGCUAACUCCGUGCCAGCAGCCGCGGUAAGACGGAGGAUGCAAGUGUUAUCCGGAAUUACUGGGCGUAAAGCGUCUGUAGGUGGUUUAAUAAGUCAACUGUUAAAUCUUGAGGCUUAACUUCAAAACAGCAGUCGAAACUAUUAGACUAGAGUAUAGUAGGGGUAAAGGGAAUUUCCAGUGGAGCGGUGAAAUGCGUAGAUAUUGGAAAGAACACCGAUGGCGAAAGCACUUUACUGGGCUAUUACUAACACUCAGAGACGAAAGCUAGGGUAGCAAAUGGGAUUAGAUACCCCAGUAGUC
rnacentral:rRNA from 1 species